CUGGUAUCUAUGAUGAGUUUAUUAGUAUUCACGUUCCAGCAUACAGAAAAAUUAAAAUACAAAAAUUCGUGUAUUGGAAAAGUACUUAUGUAAUGGUCAUAAGGAUAUUUGAGAUGUGACACAUUGUGAACAUAUAGUAAAUAUAAUACAUAGGUACAGGGAUGUAUUUUAACAAAUGAAUGUUAACCAACAGUAUCUAGUCAAUGAUACACGUAGCAGUAGGAUGGUCAUUAGAAGUUAUGUAAAUUCG
rnacentral:lncRNA from 1 species